rnacentral:tRNA from 1 species
GGGCCCGUAGCUCAACGGUAGAGCGGAGGCCUUUUAAGCCAAGGGUUGAGAGUUCGAGUCUCUCCGGGCUCA